rnacentral:rRNA from 2 species
UGAGACCUGAUGCCGAGCCGAUUGUGGUGAAGUGGAUGAUCCUAUGCUGUCGAGAAAAGCCUCUAGCGAGUUUCAUGGCGGCCCGUACCCUAAACCGACUCAGGUGGUCAGGUAGAGAAUACCGAGGCGUUCGGGUGAACUAUGGUUAAGGAACUCGGCAAAAUGCCCCCGUAACUUCGGGAGAAGGGGGGCCAUGUCUGGUGAUGAGUCUUGCACUCUGAGCUGGGUGUGGCCGCAGAGACCAGCGAGAAGCGACUGUUUACUAAAAACACAGGUCCGUGCGAAGCCGUAAGGCGAUGUAUACGGACUGACGCCUGCCCGGUGCUGGAACGUUAAGGGGACCGGUUAGUCACAUUUCGGUGUGGCGAAGCUGAGAACUUAAGCGCCAGUAAACGGCGGUGGUAACUAUAACCAUCCUAAGGUAGCGAAAUUCCUUGUCGGGUAAGUUCCGACCUGCACGAAUGGCGUAACGACUUCUCGACUGUCUCAACCAUAGGCCCGGUGAAAUUGCAUUACGAGUAAAGAUGCUCGUUUCGCGCAGCAGGACGGAAAGACCCCGGGACCUUUACUACAGUUUGAUAUUGGUGUUCGGUUCGGCUUGUGUAGGAUAGGUGGGAGACUGUGAAGCAUGCACGCCAGUGUGUGUGGAGUCGUCGUUGAAAUACCACUCUGGUCGUGCUGGAUGUCUAACCUGGGUCCGUGAUCCGGAUCAGGGACAGUGUCUGAUGGGUAGUUUAACUGGGGCGGUUGCCUCCUAAAGAGUAACGGAGGCGCCCAAAGGUUCCCUCAGCCUGGUUGGUAAUCAGGUGUUGAGUGUAAGUGCACAAGGGAGCUUGACUGUGAGACCGACGGGUCGAGCAGGGACGAAAGUCGGGACUAGUGAUCCGGCGGUGGCUUGUGGAAGCGCCGUCGCUCAACGGAUAAAAGGUACCCCGGGGAUAACAGGCUGAUCUUCCCCAAGAGUCCAUAUCGACGGGAUGGUUUGGCACCUCGAUGUCGGCUCGUCGCAUCCUGGGGCUGGAGUCGGUCCCAAGGGUUGGGCUGUUCGCCCAUUAAAGCGGUACGCGAGCUGGGUUUAGAACGUCGUGAGACAGUUCGGUCCCUAUCCGCUGUGCGCGUAGGAAUAUUGAGAAGGGCUGUCCCUAGUACGAGAGGACCGGGACGGACGAACCUCUGGUGUGCCAGUUGUUCUGCCAAGGGCAUGGCUGGUUGGCUACGUUCGGGAGGGAUAACCGCUGAAAGCAUCUAAGCGGGAAGCCUGCUUCGAGAUGAGUAUUCCCACCUCCUUGAGAGGGUAAGGCUCCCAGUAGACGACUGGGUUGAUAGGCCGGAUAUGGAAGCCCUGUAAGGGGUGGAGUUGACCGGUACUAAUAGGCCGAGGGCUUGUCCU